GAUGAACGCUGGCGGCGUGCCUAAUACAUGCAAGUCGAGCGAACAGACGAGGAGCUUGCUCCUCUGACGUUAGCGGCGGACGGGUGAGUAACACGUGGAUAACCUACCUAUAAGACUGGGAUAACUUCGGGAAACCGGAGCUAAUACCGGAUAAUAUAUUGAACCGCAUGGUUCAAUAGUGAAAGACGGUUUUGCUGUCACUUAUAGAUGGAUCCGCGCCGCAUUAGCUAGUUGGUAAGGUAACGGCUUACCAAGGCAACGAUGCGUAGCCGACCUGAGAGGGUGAUCGGCCACACUGGAACUGAGACACGGUCCAGACUCCUACGGGAGGCAGCAGUAGGGAAUCUUCCGCAAUGGGCGAAAGCCUGACGGAGCAGCGCCGCGUGAGUGAUGAAGGUCUUCGGAUCGUAAAACUCUGUUAUUGGGGAAGAACAAAUGUGUAAGUAACUAUGCACGUCUUGACGGUACCUAAUCAGAAAGCCACGGCUAACUACGUG
rnacentral:rRNA from 1 species